UGGUGAUAAGGAGAUUGACAGAUGGCAGGAAAAAGAAAUAAGGAAGAAGACGAGAAAAAGUGGCAGUAGUGUGGAAACUAGUUAGCAGAAGAAUUUACAAGAAUUUAUCUAUAAUUAAUCUAUAAAUGAGAAUCACGAGAAGAGAAAAGUAGCUCAAAGUUUAUAGUGAAAGUAUACAGGAUUGGCGAGAGGAAGAAAUUUAUUAGCGGUAGUUAAGGUCAGAGAAAUCACACAAAUAUUAAGCUCCGAUUUAACCAAUAUUCGGAGGCAAACGACAACGUGAUUGGCUAACGGCAAGUCCAUCCAGAACGGACUGAGCAGGGUAGUUGCGGUAAAAGUGGGAAUCCUGAAAAACAAGUAGAACAGUAAGCAGAAUAUAAUGAAAUAAUAUAGUUUAACCUUAAAACAAUGAAACCUAUCGUAGCUGGUGCAGGUGUUUAAUAAUUGUUGAAACAUCAGAGUAUCGGUCGUCAGGAGAAAUAAAGACCAAUGUAAGAUAUCCUAGUUUUAUAGUAUAUAUGAAUACUAAUGAAAAAUAUAGCUUUUAGCAGAUCGUUGAGAAA